GGACGAACGCUGGCGGCGUGCCUAACACAUGCAAGUCGAGCGAGGAGAUCCUUCGGGAUGAUCCUAGCGGCGGACGGGUGAGUAACACGUGGGCAACCUGCCCCAUAGAGAGGAAUAGCCUUCCGAAAGGGAGAUUAAUACCUCAUAACAUUGCAGUUUCGCAUGGAACAGCAAUUAAAGGAGUAAUCCGCUAUGAGAUGGGCCCGCGGCGCAUUAGCUAGUUGGUGAGGUAACGGCUCACCAAGGCGACGAUGCGUAGCCGACCUGAGAGGGUGAUCGGCCACAUUGGGACUGAGACACGGCCCAGACUCCUACGGGAGGCAGCAGUGGGGAAUAUUGCACAAUGGGGGAAACCCUGAUGCCAGCAACGCCGCGUGAGUGAUGACGGCCUUCGGGUUGUAAAGCUCUGUCUUCAGGGACGAUAAUGACGGUACCUGAGGAGGAAGCCACGGCUAACUACGUGCCAGCCGCCGC
rnacentral:rRNA from 1 species